GACGAACGCUGGCGGCGUGCUUAACACAUGCAAGUCGAACGGAAAGGCCCUGCUUUUGUGGGGUGCUCGAUUGGCGAACGGGUGAGUAGCACGUGAGUAACCUGCCCUUGACUUUGUGAUAACUUCAGGAAACUGGGGCUCUUACCGGAUAGGAGCUCCUGCUGCAUGGGGUGGGUUGGUAAGUUUCGGCGGUUGGGGAUGGACUCGCUGCUUAUCCGCUUGUUUGUGGGGUAGUGGCUUACCAAGGCUUUGACGGGUAGCCGACAUGGGAGGGUGACCGGCGACAAGGGGACUGAGAUACGGACCAGAAGGCAACGGGAGGCAGCAGUGGGGAAUAUUGCACAAUGGGCGGAAGCGUGAUGCAGAAACGCCGGGUGCGGGAUGACGGCCUACGGGUUGUAAACCGAUUUGGAAUGUGACGAAGCGUGAGUGACGGUAAUGGGUAAAGAAGCACCGGCUAACUACGUG
rnacentral:rRNA from 1 species